rnacentral:pre_miRNA from 1 species
UGUAGGGCAAUCUGUCUUUAAGUAGGGAUAAAUUACCCUGAAAGAAAUGAAUACUAGACAGUGUUCUCUUCAAGUCAAGUGUCUUG